rnacentral:rRNA from 1 species
UACAGAGGGUGCAAGCGUUAAUCGGAAUCAUUGGGCGUAAAGGGUGUGUAGGUGGUUUGAUAAGUUAGGUGUGAAAUCCCUGGGCUCAACCUGGGCAUUGCGCUUAAAACUGUCAGACUAGAGUAUUGCAGAGGUAAGUGGAAUUUCCGGUGUAGCGGUGAAAUGCGUAGAUAUCGGAAGGAACACCGGUGGCGAAGGCGACUUACUGGGCAAAUACUGACACUGAAACACGAAAGCGUGGGUAGCGAAAGGG